GUAGUCCGAGCCGUAAACGAUGGAUACUAGGUGUCGUGGGUAUCAACCCCCGCGGUGCCGUAGCUAACGCGUUAAGUAUCCCGCCUGGGGAGUACGGUCGCAAGACUGAAACUCAAAGGAAUUGACGGGGGCCCGCACAAGCAGCGGAGCGUGUGGUUUAAUUCGACGCAACGCGAAGAACCUUACCAGGGCUUGACAUGGCGCGUUCAACCGGCGAAAGCCGGUGGCCGCGAGGCGAGCGCCACAGGUGCUGCAUGGCUGUCGUCAGCUCGUGCCGUGAGGUGUUGGGUUAAG
rnacentral:rRNA from 1 species